CAAGUGAUUCUCCCACCUCAGCCUCCAAAGUAGCUGGGACUACAGGAUCCACUGAGCUUCAUUGAUCUGAAGAUUGGAAGCUGUCAACAGCAUUAGAAAAUACUCAUCCACCUGCCUUGGCCUCCCAAAGUGCUGAGACUACAGGCGUAAGCCACUGGGCCCGAUCAAUUUAAAAUUUUCAAUUAUGUUUUUAUUUCUAAAGCUUACUUGGUUAUUUUUAAGAUUUCCUGCUUCUUUGAUCAUAUUGUUGAGCUUCUAGUAUUUAAAAAUCCUAUUAAAAAUGUUAUUCUAUAAUCCUUGCUAGUUCUAAUUUCUGAAGUCUUUGAGGAUUUUACUUUACUGUCUAUCUGGUUCUCAGCUGUAGUACCUUGUUCCCUUGUAUUCUUUGCAAUUUUUAAAAUGUAUUUACUUAUUUCUUUGUAUUGUGAGAAGCCAAUAUCUUUGCAAUUUCACCUGUAGGGAUUAUUAUUGUCUCAGUUGAAAGUGAAUUUCUUCCCUUGGGAUUUGCUUUUAUUCUACCAACUGAUUGAGGUCACUAACAAUCUGGAAACCAAGUUAAAAUCUCAGCUUGGGGUUUUUCAGUGAGUAGUAUAAAUGCAGACUGUAAACACACAUAAAAGUUGGCUGUGUCUUAAAAUUUCCCACAUCACACAGUAUGUUGUGACGAGGUUGAAAAAGACAAAGCUUCCUUAUUGUUCUUUUCUGCAUGGCAAAUUUAUUCUCAUUUUCCUUAUAUUAGAGUAAAGUUCUAGCUUUGUGAGCAUGGGCUACCAUAGACUUUCCAACUGAUGCAGGAUCUGGGCCAGAGCCUUGCAAGUGAUGUUGCUCAGCCUUUGUGAGCCAUGAGAAAGGGUGGGAAGCUCUGCCUGGGGUUCGACCUCUUCUCCAUUCCCCUUGGCACCUUGGGCCCUGCACAGCCAUCCAGGAAGAAGCCCAGGAGCUCUGGCUUUGGCCUAAGAUGAAAGAUACUUUUGGUACUAACAAACAAGAAUUUCUGUUUUCAUUAAAGUUUCAGCCUUAUGGAUUUUUUUAACCUGCCGUUUCAGCAAUGCAUGAAGAAAACAUAUUUUAGCAUAUUAAGCACUUUAGUCUGAGAGUUGUUCAGGAUAUGUAGCCUGCUAUAUUGCUGUAUAUUGAAGUCUUUUAUCAACUCCCUCCUGCCCAAUAAAUGUUGAGUUCCUAGAGAUGAGGGACUGUGAUUGAUUCAUCUUUAUACCCUAGGACCUGACACACAUUAGUGGAUGCACAGGUAUUAUUUGAAUAAAUGCCAGAACCAAUCA